rnacentral:rRNA from 1 species
UGGGGAAUAUUGGACAAUGGGCGAAAGCCUGAUCCAGCCAUGCCGCGUGUGUGAAGAAGGUCUUCGGAUUGUAAAGCACUUUAAGUUGGGAGGAAGGGCAGUAAGCGAAUACCUUGCUGUUUUGACGUUACCGACAGAAUAAGCACCGGCUAACUCUGUGCCAGCAGCCGCGGUAAUACAGAGGGUGCAAGCGUUAAUCGGAAUUACUGGGCGUAAAGCGCGCGUAGGUGGUUCGUUAAGUUGAAUGUGAAAGCCCCGGGCUCAACCUGUGAACUGCAUCCAAAAAUGGCGAGAUAGAGGAGGGCAGAGGGUGGUGGAAUUUCCUGUGUAGCGGUGAAAUGCGUAGAUAUAGGAAGGAACACCAGUGGCGAAGGCGACCACCUGGGCUCAUACUGACACUGAGGUGCGAAAGCGUGGGGAGCAAACAGG